rnacentral:rRNA from 1 species
GAUGAACGCUAGCUACAGGCUUAACACAUGCAAGUCGAGGGGCAUCAUGACGAAAGCUUGCUUUUGUUGAUGGCGACCGGCGUACGGGUGAGUAACACGUUGGGAACCUGCCCUUAAGACCGGAAUACCAGAUGGAAACAUUUGCUAAUGCCGGAUGUUGAUAUUUUUACGCAAGUAAUUAUAUCCAAAAGGAACUAUUGUUCCGCUUUCGGAUGGCCCUGCGUCACAUUAGUUAGUUGGCGGGAUAAAGGCCCACCAAGACUGGGAUGCGUAGCCGAGCUGAGAGGCUGAUCGGCCACAUUGGGACUGAGACACAGCCCAGACUCC